rnacentral:rRNA from 1 species
UACGUAGGUGGCAAGCGUUGUCCGGAAUUAUUGGGCGUAAAGCGCGCGCAGGUGGUUUCUUAAGUCUGAUGUGAAAGCCCACGGCUCAACCGUGGAGGGUCAUUGGAAACUGGGGGACUUGAGUACAGAAGAGAAGAGUGGAAUUCCACGUGUAGCGGUGAAAUGCGUAGAGAUGUGGAGGAACACCAGUGGCGAAGGCGACUCUUUGGUCUGUAACUGACGCUGAGGCGCGAAAGCGUGGGGAGCAAACAGG